GUGAGUAUAUAUUAAAGGUAAAUUUCCUGCCUUCCAAGCAGGCGAUGCCGGUUCGAGUCCGGCUACUCACU
rnacentral:tRNA from 4 species